CAGUGGCGAACGGGUGAGUAACACGUGGGCAAUCUGCCCUGCACUCUGGGACAAGCCCUGGAAACGGGGUCUAAUACCGGAUAUGACCUGCUCCUGCAUGGGGGUGGGUGGAAAGCUUCGGUGGUGCAGGAUGAGCCCGCGGCCUAUCAGCUUGUUGGUGGGGUGAUGGCCUACCAAGGCGACGACGGGUAGCCGGCCUGAGAGGGCGACCGGCCACACUGGGACUGAGACACGGCCCAGACUCCUACGGGAGGCAGCAGUGGGGAAUAUUGCACAAUGGGCGGAAGCCUGAUGCAGCGACGCCGCGUGAGGGAUGACGGCCUUCGGGUUGUAAACCUCUUUCAGCAGGGAAGAAGCGCAAGUGACGGUACCUGCAGAAGAAGCACCGGCUAACUACGUGCCAGCAGCCGCGGUAAUACGUAGGGUGCGAGCGUUGUCCGGAAUUAUUGGGCGUAAAGAGCUCGUAGGCGGUCUGUCGCGUCGGAUGUGAAAGCCCGGGGCUUAACCCCGGGUCUGCAUUCGAUACGGGCAGACUAGAGUGUGGUAGGGGAGAUCGGAAUUCCU
rnacentral:rRNA from 1 species